GAUCCUGGCUCAGGACGAACGCUGGCGGCGUGCCUAAUACAUGCAAGUAGAACGCUGAAGGAGGAGCUUGCUUCUCUGGAUGAGUUGCGAACGGGUGAGUAACGCGUAGGUAACCUGCCUGGUAGCGGGGGAUAACUAUUGGAAACGAUAGCUAAAUACCGCAUAAGAGUAGAUGUUGCAUGACAUUUGCUUAAAAAGGUGCAAUUGCAUCACUACCAGAUGGACCUGCG
rnacentral:rRNA from 1 species